rnacentral:lncRNA from 1 species
AGCCGGAGCCCGCGGCCGCCGCCACUGCUCCAGCUGCCGCCGCUACAGCCUCUGCCUCGGCUGCCACCUGAGGAGACCCACCGUCGGGACCCCGCGGCGCUGCCCCGCCGACCCUUCUCUGCUCCCGGUGAUCCGUGCACGGUGCAACUCUCAUCACUCUUCUUAUCCUCUCCUUUGCAAGAAGAGAAACUACUAGAAGACAGCAUCCAAAAAGAAACCGCGUCUACCUUGACUGACUACUGAAGCGUCUCCUGGAAUAAGAGGGUCGCCCGUCCUGGGAGUAGCUGCCAGAGACACUGAGGAAGGGUGUGGAGGGGGGGAGGGAGGAGUUGCGGGUUCCGCGUGGAGGAAAGUUGCGUGUGGCACAGACCCGACGGCGCAGCGCCACAGUCCCCGGGGGACCGUGUGUCUUGGAAAAAAGUCGCUGUCCCCCUAAGGCGAGACCCACAAGCGAGCGGGCCCCGUGGGCCCGGGGACGACGCCCCCUCCUGCGGCGUGGACUUUGUCGGUGGCCUUCUAGGAGGAGGAAUAUGGCAUCUAAGGUGUCCCCUUCUUGCCGUCUGGUUUUCUGCCUCUUGAUCUCCGCCGCGGUCCUCAGACCAGGUAAGCUUUUGGCCUCUGAACAGCCCCACUGUAGUGGUUGUUGCGGACCGGGGGCGGUUCCCCGGGAGGCCUGGGGCUGUGCGCUCUAGCGUGUGCUUAGCAAAGUAUGGGAGCCAUAAAGGCGCGCGGGGGACACAGAUCUGUCCCUGGGAACAGUCACCUGUGUCACACGUUUUAGGCUUGACUGGUCUGCUCAGGUUUGGGCAGCGAGAUUGAAAACUAAGCACAUCUCCAGGAACUUUGGGUGAGGCUUAGCUUGAGGGUGCAGGACCCCCCCCCCCCCGGCAAGAUCUGCUGAACUCUCUCCCCCGCACCGUCCCUCCAGUCUCUUGGUAUCAAAGUACAAUUCACUGCACUCAGAGCAGUUUCCUUUCGCUGGGCUUUGAGGUGAAAUAACUGCUGGCACUUUGUCACGAUAAAUCCCCUAAGUAACUUCCUCUUGGUCAUAAUGUGAAGACCUGGGAGGAAUGGCAGGGGAUAAGGAGGGUUUUGACUAUCUUUUUUUUUUUAAUAAUAAUAAUACUGAAAUAGAAGCUGCAUUGUCUAGUGGGUAGCUAGUGUAGGGUUGAUGGCAGCCGAGUCACGCAGCGUGGACUGGGUUAGCAGUCAGGUUUGCGAGCCUUAAAGCGAGGGAUUUCUUGGUUUCCACACCCAGUGGUAGCGCCUCAGUUCUCACUUCUACAGAGAGUCCUCAAAGAAAAACGACAAAAUUCCCACCAACCAGAAUAUCUUGUGGGGAACCCCUUUUCUCACCCCCAGGGGACAUCCCUGGCCCGUGGUCCGCCAGCUGGCCUGCUGGCUGCCAUUCCUUGGUCCUGCCCAGCCCGCUAUGCGCUCCCAGUCAUUCAUUCAAGCGGCAGGCACUUUUCCCUGCGGAGCCUGAGGAUCUAAUCCUUUGAAGUUUUGAUUUCCCACUGUGUCCUGGAUAGUUGGGGGUUAAACUACUCCUUGUUAUUCUGGUUUCUGCCUGUUUUUUCUUCUCUCUCUUUUUAAGUUUUACAUUUAGGAGGGGUUAAAACAGGUCUCACUUUCUUUUCCCAUCUUUUAUUUCUGUACACCCCUUCAGUUGUUGGCGAGUUGAAGCCACAGAGGAGUAUUCAAACGCUCGGAAUCCUUCCAGGGAAGAGGAGAGAGUAAGGGCAACAGGAGCCUGGGAUCCCCAGGGCUUGGGAGCCGCCGCUUUGUGUUGUUGGGGAGAGGGGUGGGUGUCAGAGUGGGAGAAGGUUGAUUCUCCAUAUCUCUAUAUCAAAGUUACAUUUCUGGGUGAGGUAAUCAACUCACUGUUUCUGAGGCUGGGAAAAAAAUAUCAGUGACCAAUCUCAGGCUCUGGGGGCGGGGACCCUAAAGCCCGAGUAGAGCUGGAUUUUAAGGCAGGUGGGGCAGGGCGAAAACACUCGGGAUGUGAGCACCAGGCACCUCUACUCUUGCACAGUGUAUGUAGUCUCACUUUUUCUGGAAACCCAGUAUAGGAUGGGGGAAGGGCACUUUAGAACCCAUGGGAAGAGGGCCAGUUUGUGAAAUGUGGGAAUCCACACGCCCAUCUCCGGUGUUGGCUUUAACCCUCUCACACCUGCCUCUGAGGUUGUCAUCUACACUUCCACCCCCGGACUGCAGCACAUAGCUGUUACCCUUUUCAUGCGGUUGCGCUGGAAUUUAUUUUCAGUUGGCCCCGUCGAAAAACAGGUUUUGCUUCACUCGGAACUGCCAAGAGGGGAGAGGUUCCGCUUUCAGACCUGAUGGCGGUUCUUUCAGCACCCCGCAGGCUCUGGUCCAAGCCACCAGCUGGGCGCUUUCCUGCAGGAGCGCGCCUGCUGCUGCAGGGUCUCGCAAGUCACAAACCCUCACAUUCGCUUCUCCCCGGAAUGAUUGCGCUGAUGUUGUGCAAACUUCUCCGUGGAAUGUCAGUGUGCUUUUAAAGGAAAAGAUUGUAGUUCUAAAGGCACGGUGACUGAAGACUCAGCGAAUCCUAGGCUGGAAGUGCGCCUCCUGCAGUGCCCUCUCCUCUGCAGAGCAGAGCUUUGGGAGUGAAGGAUUACCCAGCUCUAUCCAUUGGGGCCCAUUUCCAGGCUGCCUCCCUUCGUUCCUAGAGCAGUUUUAACAGUCUGUCUCAGUUGCCAGAGGACAGAAGCCGCUCCUCCAGGUCUUUUGACUUGUCGCCCCCACAGCAGUCAUUCAUGGUUUGGGGCCUCUUGUAUAACCUGUUUUGAAAGGAAAGGGAGUCAAGACUUCAACAAAAAUCUGAGUAUGAUAAAGGCAAUGAAGUGUGUGCUUAGCAUCCUAGGUGGCAAAAAUCUCAUUCUUCUCGUUGAAAGAGCGUCAGCCUGUGGUGACAUUUUGUACUGCUUUAAAGAAAGCUUUCCUUGGUUAUUUGCAAGGAGGAGUGGCAUGGUUGGUUAACUGCUUCUUUCCCUGAGCCCUCUAAGCACUGCCCUCCCUGAGAACCCCCCCCCCCCAUUUCUCAGAAUACAAGGUUCACCCUGAGACUUAAGGAUACAUAAUGCUAUUCUCAGUGGAGUACUAUGUUUCUCAACUCAUCUCUACAGGGCUGGGGAAAAGGCAGUCACUCAAAUCAAGACCUUUCAGGUUACUCAUCCAAGAUUAUUAAAGUUUAUUAAUUCCCAACUACAGACCGCUUCAUGGCCGCUCUAGGUUGUUGUUGUUGGUGGCUUGAUUGAUUUGAUCUGAGAGCAGUUUAUAACAUAAUGGAGAACUGUUUGCAGCAAAUGGCUUUUCUAGGCUUGGCUCAGGACCUGGGUCUACAUUCAGGCACUGGAACAAGACAAGAAACCUUUUGGGGCUUCAGCUUUCUUU